GAAAAGCCAGAAAGGCAUGGUCCAGCUGUUUGUUAAUCGGGUCAGUCGAAAUUUAUGCGAGUUCGAAGAGGUUUGUUUCGAAGCAUUACUGAGUUAGAAGAUUAAUUGGUUCAUAGUCCAAUGAUGGGAAAUGUUAGAUUCUACUGCUCGACCACCUGACUCAUCCAUGGGCUCGAGACAUUAGUAUUUCUUUUAUCAAAGGUGAGCAAUUGUAUAAACAUAGUGAGCUGGUUUGAUGAAUGUCUUUGACUCAAGAAUCAUGCCAAAAGACAAAUUCUUUGUUAAGAUUAACUAGAUCACGCAAAAAAAAAAAGAAAAAAGAAUACUCAUCAAAAAAGGUAAGGGAGUGUUAUAGCUACAGAUUUCAACAGCACAUUGUCAGUACUUUGGAAAGUAACAGUAAUCUCCUGCACAUACGUACAAAUAUGUAUUCCAUAAAUUUUGUAAAUCUACUCUGUUCUGUGUGAUAUUUCAUUUGUUACAGGCUCUGAUUUUGUACAGGUAACGGGGAGUGGAAUUAGGUUUUUUAUCCUUGUAAAGUGAGCUACAAGGUUGUAAAGCUGCUUGGUUGGACUUCCCUUAUUUCGACUAGUCGGAGUAUUGCCCGAGGUGGUAUUUGAACCAGCCGAUUUGGAAUUACUACUUGCACCAGAUAGUUUGGACAUAUCGCUGGUGCUUGGUAGCUUCGAUGUUAUGCCGGUACUGAGUUGCUUGGACAAUCCGCUGGUACUUGGCUGCUUGGAUAAUCCACUGAACAUUUUGGAAUACAAAAACUCCAAUGGCAACUUGUGGAAGGUUUUCAACUGGAGAAAAAAAUAAGAAUAUUUAUCAUUUGCUUACCAAUGUUGGGUUUUUGACCAACAGGCUCCUCUUCGAUGGCAAAUCUUUCUUCCGUUCUGUGAAUUGGUGAACUCAACUCUCGGCUGCUGUCCUCUGUAAAGAAAAUAUAUUUCUUCAGAGUUUCUGUAUCUCUAAUGAUAAAUG